UACGUAGGGGGCGAGCGUUGUCCGGAUUUAUUGGGCGUAAAGGGUACGCAGGCGGUCAUGUAAGUCAGGUGUGAAAUUCUAUGGCUUAACCAUAGCAAGCACUUGAAACUGUGUGACUUGAGUUAAGGAGAGGAAAGUGGAAUUCCUAGUGUAGCGGUGAAAUGCGUAGAUAUUAGGAGGAAUACCAGUGGCGAAGGCGACUUUCUGGACUUAUACUGACGCUGAGGUACGAAAGCGUGGGGAGCAAACAGG
rnacentral:rRNA from 1 species